rnacentral:rRNA from 1 species
CAAUAGCGUAUAUUUAAGUUGUUGCAGUUAAAAAGCUCGUAGUUGGAUUUCGGGUAGGAUUUGCCGGUCCGUCUUUGAGAUGUGUACUGGUAAGUCCUAUCUUCUUGUCGGGGACCAGCUCCUGGGCUUCACUGUCCGGGACUGGGAGCCGACGAAGUUACUUUGAGUAAAUUAGAGUGUUCAAAGCAAGCUUACGCUCUGAAUAUAAUAGCAUGGGAUAACACGACAGGACUCUGGCCUAUCGUGUUGGUCUAUAGGACCAGAGUAAUGAUUAAGAGGGACAGUCGGGGGCAUUCGUAUUCCGUUGUCAGAGGUGAAAUUCUUGGAUUUACGGAAGACGAACAUCUGCGAAAGCAUUUGCCAAGGAUGUUUUCAUUGA